GGUCCAUCGAUAUGUGGAAACGAUGACGAAGAACAGAAGAAGAUGAUGGAUGUUCCAUCGCCCAUCGGUAGAGAUUUACAACUGAUUUUUAUGGUCAGAUGAUUUCAUCUUCUUCUUGACUUCUCUACCAAUGUAACAUCGGGUAAUCAUGUUCUUCUUCUUCUGUUCUUGACAGUCCCACUUACCAUGUCUUCUCAAUUUCUAAAACUAACAAGCUUGAUGUGGAUGCUGAUUCCUUAUACUUGAUAGCGGAUGCACAAGUUAUGGCGAUCCAAUACGGAAACCCAGAUAAACUAUGUGUACCACUUGUGGAAGCUAACAAGAAUGGUGGUGAUUUAGUAGAAGCAUAUGCUAAAUAUGUUAGAGACUUUUGCGUGGGAGUUUUCGGGCUAAGCCCUCUAGACACUGCGGUCUCCUCAGACAGUUCAUACAGGCUUUGAUCUUGUCUUCUUUGUGAUGUUCUGAGUAGCUGAGACGAGAGCUAUGGAUUUGGGUGAAAUAAAAGACUGUUGGUGGCCAUGGAAGAUACACAUAACUCAAGGAGCCGAGAUGAUUGUUCUAUUGACUGGUGGACUCAAGCAGUCUGCUUGCAGAUCGAACUCAAUGGCUAAGAGUUUUGGUGGCUUCUGUGCACUUUACAUACUUGAGCUUUGCGCCGGAAGAACUCAAACAAGUGCUAAUAACUUGUUCAGAUGAUAUUUGAUGCGACUCAUUCCUUGAAAGCCAUUCAACAAAGCUGCCGCUGCCGCUGCUGAUCUCUUGGCCAAGAUAUAGGAUUCGCCUCCCCCAUUAUAUGAUGUUUUGUUGCUAUACAUUUAGAACGAAUAAGUUCUGUUUCUCUGAAAUCUUCCCUCUGUUUUUCGUUACUCGUUAGUAGAGAUGUCAAAGCCCGCGGGCAUGCCGUUAGUCCGCAAAGAUAGGCGGAGCGGACAUGGGCACUGAUACGUCGCCCCCGCCCGCGGCGGACCUGUCCGCGACGGUUCACUGAAAAGACGGGCCCAUCACGGUCGGUCCAUUUGGGCGCGGGCAUGCCCGUUUGACACCCCUAGCUACAGCAGUAUUAGUAAUUUGGGUUAUUUACUUAUUUAUAAAGUCGGCCUUGAAGAAAUAAAUAAAAGAAAAAAAAUAUAUAUCAAAGUCAGGGGUGU